GUUUCCGCAAACAGAAUCGUGGAUGACUGUGUGGCCUUUACCUCCUCAAGUCUCUGGAACCUUCCAACAUAGUGCUACUAACUGAAAACCAACCAAGCAUUCGACCAUAAACCUGUGCGGGGUUUCUCACACAGUAACAGUUUGCUCCAGCUGCAAAGUGUUGAUUCAUGAGGUUUUGCUGUCAGUUCAAGUAACCAGAAAUGGAAGGUUCUGCAAAAGCAUCUGUAGAUUCUGAAACAGAAUCUCCUCCAAGUAUUACUGAAAGCACUGCUGCAUCUGGGCAGAGGCUUUCUGAAAAGACUCCUAUGUGCCAGCAAGAAGAUGAUCUUGUAGAGCAGAAUUCGAGUUCUGUGCAAGAUUCUCCAUCCAAGAAAAGAAAACUUGAUGCCGAAAUCAUCUUAGAGGAGAAAGGCUGUAGCCGCCCGCAGCCACAAAAGCUGGAUGAAGGACACAGCUCAGCUGUGGCUGCCCACUAUAAUGAGCUUCAGGAAGUUGGCUUGGUGAAGCGUAGUCAAAGUCGAAUUUUUUACCUAAGAAACUUUAAUAAUUGGAUUAAAAGUAUUCUUAUUGGGGAAAUUUUAGAAAAGGUACGGCAAAGAAAAAACCGUGACAUCACUGUUUUGGACCUGGGAUGUGGAAAAGGUGGAGAUUUGCUCAAGUGGAGGAAGGGGAGAAUUAGCAGGCUAGUGUGUGCUGAUAUUGCUGAUAUUUCUAUGAAACAAUGUCAACAACGUUACGAAGACAUGAGAUGUCGUCGUGAUAAUGAGUAUAUUUUUAGUGCUGAAUUUAUAACUGCUGACUGUUCAAAGGAACUUUUGGUUGAAAAAUUCCGUGAUCCAGAAAUGUACUUUGACAUCUGCAGCUGUCAGUUUGCUUGCCAUUACUCCUUUGAGUCCUUGGAACAGGCUGAUAUGAUGCUGAGAAAUGCCUGUGGAAGGCUUAACCCUGGCGGCUAUUUUAUUGGUACCACUCCCAAUAGCUUCGAACUGAUAAAACGCCUUGAAGCUUCAGAAACAGAAUCAUUUGGAAAUGAAAUAUACACUGUGAAAUUCCAGAAGAAAGGAAAUUAUCCUUUAUUUGGCUGCAAAUAUGACUUUAACUUGGAAGGUGUUGUGGAUGUCCCUGAAUUCUUGGUCUAUUUUCCAUUGCUAACUGAAAUGGCAAAGAAGUAUAAUAUGAAGCUAAUCUAUAAAAAAACAUUUCUGGAAUUUUAUGAAGAAAAGAUUAAGAACAAUGAAAACAAAAUGCUCUUAAAACGAAUGCAGGCCCUGGAGCAAUACCCUGCAAAUGAGAACUCUAAACUUGCCUCUGAAAAGGUGGGUGACUAUGCACAUGCAACAGAGUACAUGAAGAACGGUCAAGUCAGGUUACCUCUGGGAACCUUAAGUAAGUCAGAAUGGGAAGCUACAAGUAUCUACUUGGUUUUUGCCUUUGAGAAGCAGCAGUGAGCACGUCGCUUCAGUGCAGUUCUCCAUCCUUCCAGAUGGGGCAGACCAUCUCAGAAAGAUUUGACAGCUGUUUGUUUAUUUUAAUAGAGAGAAGAAUUCCUCAAAGGGUGGAGUAAUUGAUGGCUAUUGCAAGCAGCAAGAAGAGAAAUGUGGAGUUCCUAGGCCCUUCCCUGAGGACUCAGAGAAAACUGGCCUGGGUCUGAGAUGGGCUCUAGUCAUUAUACCUCCUGUCAGAGAUAUAGGAGAGUUCCCAUGAUGUCACCCUACAGAAACAGUUCAAGCAGCUGCCUCUUUCCUUUUGUGGUGUUAUCUGUUGAGCCCCCAUCCCUCCACCGCUCCUUGCAGAAGUCCAGUGACUCAGGAUGGAUUCUUAUGGACAAGAAUGGGAAGGUGGCAUUUUCCAUGUUUCUUUCAACAAAUAAGACUUUGCCCAGCAUUCUCGGAACCUGAAUGUUUAAUUUUGUUAUGACUUGUAGUACCUGAUGAGAAAGGUGUGGCUUUUCAUUGCAGCAUCCGGAAAGAGUCUCUUCUCUUGGGUUCAGUAAUAAAAAUGGUUCAGAUGAGCUGUUCAGAUAACACCUAGGCCUGCCACACAGUGUAUGCUCAGGUUGUUUCCAACAGGGACUGGAGACAUGGCUCACAGGUUGAGAGUGCUUGCAAUAUUCGGAGAACUGGAGUUUGGUUCCCAGCACACACACACACAGAGUGGUUUAGAACUACCUGUACCUCCAAUUGCAGGGACUUCAGCAUUCUCUAGUCUCUGCUAGCCCCUGCACAUACAUGCAGAUACCUACACAUAAAUAAAAAUCUUUGACAUGACGAUCAUGUGGGCCAUUUUUGGGAGUGACACAACCUGAACUGGUAGUUGGCUUGGGGAUAAAGUUGCACUGCAGUAGGACCCAGAAUGCUGACGUGGAAUUGUUUGGGUCUAGCAUUUAUUUACUCAGGGGAACAGUCCAGUGUAUAGUGUUAAUGGAGAGAAGCUGAGGAGUUGUCAGUCCUUCCCCAUCCUUCUGGUAACCUAACCUGUACAGAGAGCCUCAAGCCUGUCAGCUUACACACUUCAGUGUCCCAGAGCACUUUAGAGACCGACUCUUAUCAGCAAGAGAAGACUGAGUAGAGUCACUGAGUAGAGUAAUAGACCUGACGGAUGACUGAAGGGCAGAGAGAUGAUACAGAUUUCUCAAGAACAGAGCCAUAUUAACACUUUUACUCUGUAGUGGGUUCUAAGUCCUAGGCUCACAUACUUCCAAGGGUAUAACAGGUGGUCCCUGCAGCUUUGAGUGUUAAUUAUUGAGGCACCUUAACUUAGGUGUAUUAAUUCCUGAGUACGAUGCUUUAGUAAAUAAGGUACCCUGGCAGGAAUAGAGGUAGAUUAUUCUUGGUGUGGAGACCUGGUCCUCUAACCAGACGUGUGGAAUGUAUAUACUAUAGGUGAUGGUGUUCUUCCAACCUUAUUUUGUGGAUAUGUCAGUGCAAGAGAGUCUUAAGAGAAGAUGCUGUCUCAGUGUGAGUUAAGUAGACAGACCUGAUUAUGUGAGUUUGCUUGCUUAAACUCUGUUGAAGUAUUGUAUCUAUACAGGCAAUCAGGGAUUCUUCACAGAUAGAACGUACAUGAAUACAGAAGCCAGAAGUUCCCUUUUGACUACUAUUUCAUCCAUAACUGCCGUCCAGUUCUAAGCGAAACCCAUUUCAUCUGGCUUGGAAUAUUAUGUGAAUAAAAUUAAAAAUACACCCUUUGGCUUUCACUUGGUAGUAUUCAUGAGGUUCUAAUUCUCAGUAGGUGUACAUUGUUCGUUCUCAUGAUUGUACAGUGUUUCAUGUAUGAAUAAACAACAUUA